UACAGAGGGUGCAAGCGUUGUUCGGAAUUAUUGGGCGUAAAGCGCGUGUAGGCGGCUUUGCAAGUCGGGUGUGAAAUCCCUCAGCUUAACUGAGGAAGUGCGCCUGAAACUGCAGAGCUUGAGUACCGGAGAGGGUGGCGGAAUUCCCCAAGUAGAGGUGAAAUUCGUAGAUAUGGGGAGGAACACCGGUGGCGAAGGCGGCCACCUGGACGGAUACUGACGCUGAGACGCGAAAGCGUGGGGAGCGAACAGG
rnacentral:rRNA from 1 species